GGUUGUGUAGUGUAGUGGUUAUCACUUUGGAUUUUGACGACGUUUCUCUGUCUUUCCAAUAACCCCGGUUCGAACCCGGGCACGACCU